AACGAACGCUGGCGGCAUGCCUAACACAUGCAAGUCGAACGAGACCUUCGGGUCUAGUGGCGCACGGGUGCGUAACGCGUGGGAACCUGCCCUUAGGUUCGGAAUAACUCCCCGAAAGGGGUGCUAAUACCGGAUAAUGUCUUCGGACCAAAGAUUUAUCGCCUUUGGAUGGGCCAGCGUUGGAUUAGCUAGUUGGUAGGGUAAAAGCCUACCAAGGCGACGAUCCAUAGCUGGUCUGAGAGGAUGAUCAGCCACACUGGGACUGAGACACGGCCCAGACUCCUACGGGAGGCAGCAGUAGGGAAUAUUAGACAAUGGGCGAAAGCCUGAUGCAGCAAUGCCGCGUGAGUGAUGAAGGCCUUAGAGUUGUAAAGCUCUUUUACCCGGGAUGAUAAUGACAGUACCGGGAGAAUAAACACCGGCUAACUCCGUG
rnacentral:rRNA from 1 species